CCUACGGGGGGCUGCAGUCGAGAAUCUUCGGCAAUGGGCGCAAGCCUGACCGAGCGACGCCGCGUGCGGGAUGAAGGCCUUCGGGUUGUAAACCGCUGUCGAGGGGAAUGAAGUGCAGGUGGGUUCUCCCAUCUGUUUGACAGAUCCCUGGAGGAAGCAUGGGCUAAGUUCGUGCCAGCAGCCGCGGUAAGACGAACCAUGCAAAUGUUAUUCGGUAUCACUGGGCUUGAAGGGCUCGUUAGCCGUGUGGGAAAGCCCUCAGCCCAACUGAGGAAUUGCGCUUGAUACUGCAUGACUAGAGAAUGAUAGAGGUGGGUGGAACUGAUGGUGGAGCGGUGAAAUGCGUUGAUAUCAUCAGGAACACCAGUGGCGAAGGCGACCCACUGGGUCAUUUCUGACGCUGAGGUACGAAAGCUAGGGUAGCGAACGGGAUUAGAUACCCUUGUAGUC
rnacentral:rRNA from 1 species